rnacentral:tRNA from 1 species
AGCGAGGUGGAGAAAUUGGAAGAACUCGUCAGGCUCAUGACCUGAAGACUGUGGGUUCGAGUCCCUCCCUCGCCA